rfam:Brassica napus, WGS project CCCW01000000 data, contig: 4874
GGAAUAUAAGAAAUUGUCUUUUAAUUUUUAACUAAAAAAACUAAGAACCGGCUCUUAAAUAAGACAUUUAAAAACCGGUUCUUGACCUUUUUACUUAAAAGUUAAGAAACAGUUUCUUAUAUUCC